GUGAGUGUAUUCCAUGGUCUCAACCUUCACAUCUGGGCUGCAUGACAUCAUACCAGAGUGUACACUCGGUACCUUCGUUUGAUCCGACUGUUCCUGCAAGGAUGUUUAAGUCUGUGAAGAUUUUCAGUCAUCCAGGCUUCAGGGGUUUCCUCCCCCGUCCUAAGACAUGCAUUGUGGGCUGGCUCUGUGAUAGUGGGUGAUUGUUCCAUACCACGCAGUGUGUCCCUCACCUAGUCCCCUGGGAUAUAUUACAGGCUCCACAUGACCCUGUAUAGGAUAAAGGGUACAGUUGCCCAGAUGGACUGAUGCUCCUUAAAGAAGCUCUUGGGUUUGAGAUGGGGGGUUUAUACUUAUUCUCUCAGCAGAGGGUAAAGAGAAAAAAUGGCUCAUGGAGCUAGGUGCUUUGAUGUCUAUUGAAGAGGAGAGCCUGUUUGAACGCUCUCCCCAGGAAGCUCUUUGCAGAAAAGCGCCAGAGGCUCUUGUGGGAUUACACAGACGUGCGUGUCUUUCAUCUGAGCUGUAACACAGAAACAUCUACUGCAAAGUACAUCAAAAGAGAAUUUUAUAUAGAUUUCUCCCAUGUGGUGAAUAUAUUGGGGAUUCUGCCAGUCUAAUUCCUUCUUUAAUUUUUAUUGUCAAAAGCAAAUGCAGUUCUAAUUCAUUUCAUGAGCUUAUUAUGAAACAUUUAAAGAGUUUCUAAUUGUUAGCUGUGGCUUAAAGGACCAGUAUAUUCUUUUAUAACACCUAGAUAAAAUGCAAUAUCUGUUUUAAAUGUUUUAUUGUCACAUUUACAUGUGCAUUUUAUGUGAAUAAUGCUUAACAGGAUAUAACCCUGAAAUCUAAGAUUCUUGGAAUGAUCAAAUGCAUCAUAUUGUAAAUCACAAAACAAUAGAUUUUUACUAAGAAGUUCUGAUACAAGACAACAACAUUGUCUUGCAAAAUUUCAUGUUGAAUCUUCACAAACUGUGGUAACUUGUGCUCAUAGCACUCCAUUGCCAAUGAACACCUGACUCAACACCACAAAUUAUUGGUGGGAACCAUGCUACAAAACAUACAAAUGUUUAUUAAGCUGUGGCUCGUGUGCUUCUAGGCCAAGGUACCAUGUAUACUAGUGGUAAAUCUGUGCCUAAGCAAAUUAAAAGAGUAACUGGUUGAUUCCUCUUCACUUUAUGCCCACUUAGAAUCCCCUGAGCCAUUCAACUGCCCAGUUCACACAUUGACACUGUGUACAGGAAGAACAACCAAGUCUUUUAAAAUAUAAUCAAAGAAAUCAAGAGAGUAACUUAUAAUCUUUACCCGCCGUGUCGUUAGCACGUAUCAGGAGUCUCCAUGUUCAGUUUUCAAGCUUGCCAACUCUGUUUCACUGGGAAGGCUUCAGAUAGUGGAUCAGACACUGAAAGAACGGCAGCAUAUUUCAUAGGGGCCAUCAUUGAUUACAUUGUUGUCAGCAACACUUUGUUGCCUGUCUCGAUAAGUGUUUUAAACAUUGUCUUCUUCAUAUUUCCUAAUUUUGUCUUGUCAUUUGUUUGGUUUGCUAUUUUGGUCUUAAUAAAACUAGGAAACCUAAUGUCUUGCAUGUUGAAGCAACAAAAUUAUUACCAUUUUAUGGUUUUAGAUUUGAGACUUUCUUGGCAUUUAUGUCCAGUCUUCCAACAAAAUCCUUAUAUUAAUAAUGGCUAAGUAUGAAUUUGUGAAUUUUGAAUCUUCACAUGUGGAGUGUUCCAGUAUGGCUGCAGGUAAAGAUGAUGGAUGAUCAUGUAUACUUUCUUAGAGUGUGUGCAAAUGCAUGAGUUUGUGUGAGAAAUCAUAACCCAAGCUCAUUUUGUCAGGGCUAAUUUGUCUACAGUCAGUCCUAAGCAGCAUGACUCACUGAACAUGCUGCCAAGCUUAAUUGACACUCCUCAUAAACUAUCCUGCAUGUAUCUUUGCCAAGCUGUUAGACAGCAUGGCAGUUUGGUGUGAGUGUGCAGCAGUGAACAGGACAUUGUGUUCUUAAAAGAAUUAUGCACAUGCUACUGAUUUCUUAUACCGUUUCCCUACUGCUAAAAACGUGCAUUUUGUCUGCUGCACAUGUUCUGCACUCACUGUUAUUGAAAAACUAUUUUAUUAAAAUAUCCCACAAAUAUGAUUACAGUUCAGCAUGUAAAAAAUAAUUUUUAACUUUUAAAUUUAUAGGCAUCUUAUCUGAUAUACCUACAUAUACUGUAUAUAGCACAGCAGCAUUAGUUGAGUUCAGUAUGAAGCAUGACCAGAGCAAAGCAUGCCAUUUUAUUAGUGACAUGACAUACGGCUAAGUACGGUGACCUACACUCAGAAUUUGUUCUCUGCAU